CCUGAAUGCGGAUAUCGAAUUUGUGCCAUUGUAGUCUAUGACGCUGAAUGCGUUCGAAUCGUGGCGAGAACAUCGGACAAGGCGGUGUUUAUCCCCUCUUAAUGUUGGUGACAUUUGCGAGGUACAAAAAAAAUUUUCCGCAAAGAGGUGUCGCACUGCGGAACGCAGUUCAGAAUCGACUAUAAAAAAGGUCCGUUGACUUUAAGUUUGAAUUGGAAAGCACUCAUUGAUGUGUGAGAAUUUGCCUCUUCUCGAUUCCUGGCGGUAAUGUUCUUCCUUGGGGUAAUGUUCUCAUUAGGGGAGGGAUGGCAGCUCAGACAUGUCGACUCAAAUAUGGAUAUCAAAUUCGUGCUGCACUUCCAAAUCCCUUUAAUUUGAGCCCCGUAUUGCCAUGGCUGCAAACUUUUUUCUGUAAGUGUAAGGGCGCAAUUCUUAUCCGAUUCUUCAAUAAAUGCUACUUUUCGAAAUUUUCCAAUCAUAACGCUGGUGCUUAAACUUAUAUAAAGGCCAUUGUGACGCAAGGGAUGGCAUUUGCCUAUGUCUCUGAACUCAUGGGUUCGAAUCCUGCGGACCCCCUUUGAGUUCGGAUAUGUGAAAGGAGGUGCCUUGUCAUUAAACCAAAUCUUGAAUCGU